rnacentral:rRNA from 1 species
CCUACGGGGGGCAGCAGUGGGGAAUAUUGCACAAUGGGGGAAACCCUGAUGCAGCGACGCCGCGUGAGUGAAGAAGUAUUUCGGUACGUAAAGCUCUAUCAGCAGGGAAGAAAAUGACGGUACCUGACUAAGAAGCCCCGGCUAACUACGUGCCAGCAGCCGCGGUAAUACGUAGGGGGCAAGCGUUAUCCGGAUUUACUGGGUGUAAAGGGAGCGUAGACGGCAGCGCAAGUCUGGAGUGAAAUCCCAUGGCUUAACCAUGGAACUGCUUUGGAAACUGUGCAGCUAGAGUGCAGGAGAGGUAAGCGGAAUUCCUAGUGUAGCGGUGAAAUGCGUAGAUAUCAGGAGGAACACCAGUGGCGAAGGCGGCUUACUGGACUGUAACUGACGUUGAGGCUCGAAAGCGUGGGGAGCAAACAGGAUUAGAUACCCGAGUAGUC